GAUGAAGAACGUAGCGAAAUGCGAUAAUUAAUGUGAAUUGCAGAAUUCUGUGAAUCAUCGAGUCUUUGAACGCACAUUGCGCCUCAUGGCAUUCCGUGAGGCAUGCCCAUCUCAGCGUUAGAAAAUAUUCUCAAAUUUUAGUUUGUGCUAAAAUUUGGAUCAUGUCAAAGAAGCUAUUACUAUUAUUGUGAUCGCUCUUUGGAAAUUGAUAGGUCUUUGAGUUGUUACUCAUAGAACGUGAUGAAUCUUUCUUCGUUCUAUUGUAAUUCACUCUGGUAGUCCUAAAACUUGUAUGCCUGUGGCAUAUCUUGUAAUUUGACCUGAGAUUGGGUAGGGAUACCCGCUGAACUUAAGCAUAUCAAUAAGCGGAGGA
rnacentral:misc_RNA from 1 species